AUAUCACGCAGAAUAUCAUUUUCCUUUGGGGU
rnacentral:piRNA from 1 species